rnacentral:sRNA from 1 species
GUAGAUUCUCUGAGGGAAAAAAAAAACCCUAUGUAGAUGGUGUUCUCAGCAGGUUAGAGUCAGACUGCAGAAGCAGGCCAGCCCCUCUGUAAGACCCACAUGAAGAUUACUGUUGCCACUGCCAGAUUAUGUUAUGUCUCAGCAGAGUCGCCACCUUCCUCUCUCUACUCCCCAUCCUGUUCCGCCUUCUGAAUCGCAGCAUCAAUUGUUGACUUAAGCAGGCAAAAACUCAAACUACAUUUGAAUAAAGAAUUUGUCAGUA